GUUGAGAGAGAAGCCAGGGAGGGUUUGAGAUCACAGGCGCCUGGGACGAAAUCAACACAGAGGGCUAAAGCAAUAGCAUGGAAGUCAAUGGCACGAACUGGAAGUGUGAGGAGGGUGAGUGCUCGUGCAUCCCCAACAAAGUAGGUGCAAAUUCAGAAGUAAUUAUUACAAUUUAAAUAGAAAUACUAUACAUCCCAGCAGGCAAAGGCUGCAACCACCAGGUGAUUUGAGCACCUGCCCAUUCUAGGUGUGUUCCCUGUACGUCCAAGGUCCCUGGGGAUGUGGGUGGCACCGUGGUCUAAAUCCCUGAGCCUCUUGAGCUUGCCAAUUGGAAGGUUGGCAGUUCGAAUCCCCGUGACAGGGUGAGCUCCCAUUGCUUUGUCCCAGCUCCUGCCAACCUACCAGUUCGAAAGCAUACCGGUGCAAGUAGAUAAAUAGGUAGUGCUGCGGUGGGAAGGUAAAUGGCAUUUCUGUGCACUCUGGUUUCCGUCACGGUGUUCCGUUGCGCCAGAAGUGGUUUAGUCGUGCUGGCCACAUGACCUGGAAAGCUGUCUGUGGACAAACACCGGCUCCCUUGGCCUGAAAAGCAAGAUGAGCGCCGCACCCCAUAGUCACAUUUGACUGGACUUAACUGUCCAGGGGUCCUUUGCCUUACCUUACCGAAGGUCCUUGCCCUUCUUUCUUAGGGUUAUUUAUGUUUAAACUGGGCUUGAAUCAGGUAGGCCACCCAAAGUUUAAGAUCCAGGGGAAAUGAAAGAAAGAUGGUGUUUGGGGUGAUGGCAGUGCAGCUCACUGAGGAAGUUAUCAGAAAGCCAGGCCAGAAGAAGAUGGCUCCUCUUUCUUUUUGUGAAUGUUCACUUACUCAGUGCUUUUAGAAGCCUAUUAGGGGGCUUGGCUUGGUUUAUGUGUUUCAUUAGCAGCCUUUCUUCCUACAAUUUGAGUACUGGGACACUUAUGGGGCAAUGCUUAUCAUUACAGUCAUUGGGCAGCAUUCAACUAAGUUUUAUUCUGAGUAGACCCAGUGAAAUUAAUGAACAUGACUAAGUUAGGUCCGGUGAUUUCAAUAGGUUUACUCUGAGUAAAACUUAGUUGCAUGCCACCCCAUCCGGGCCUAAUAAUCCCUGCAAGCUAGAGUUUCACCCUGGCUUUAAAAGGAAGAUCUAGCUUUAUAUAUAUUUCUUACACAAAACCUUCUCAGGGCUCAGUUCAAGAUUUAAACAUGUUUCAGCGUCGCUCUCAUUCCUUGGUCUGUUCAUGGCCCUUGCACGAAGUCUCUUGAUGGCAUCUUUGAGCUGCAAGAGGUCUUUUUUAAAAAAGCUUCGGAGGAAGAGCAGGUGAGAAAGGGAACUUUGUGAAGUAGCAUGCUCAGAAAGCUGAUAGACGUUUUAGUGGGGCUAGCAGAUGAAAACCUCCUGGGCCGCUUGAAACCAAGAUAUAGAACUGGCCUCAUUAUGUCCUUCUAAAUGGUUAUCCAAAUUUCUCAGAGCCAGCCUUUUAGUGUGGCUGCCUCUCUUCUGGGGAAUAGUAUUCGUGUCAAGAUAGGACAGGAGCCCACUAUCUGCAUCUUCCAGGAACAACUGAAGAUAGUUUUUGUUCUGACUGGCUUUCCCAGAUGGGUAAAUGGUUGGGUUGUUUUUGUUUUUGUUUUGCCAUGAGUGUCCUCUUGUUGGGGUUUUAGUCUUGUUUUAAGUAUAUUUGCUGUUUUUUCUGUCUUUAACAGUUUUUAAUUAAACUGCCUUGAGACAGUUGUUUAGAAGGCAAUUAAUAAAUAGAUGAUGAUGAUGAUGAGAAGAAGAAGAAGAAGAAGAAAAAGAAGAGGAGGAGGAGGAGGAGGAGCCAGUCUAAAAAUCCAAAUUAAUGCUUGAGAUUAAAUCACUUCUUCUGAAACUACAGGUUUCAAACCAGGUAUGAGUUCCUUACCGUAUUUGACAUCACUCUAUUUGCCAGUGACUAUAUCCCGAGGCGCGCCAUGCCUUCUUACACCAAUAAAUCUUUACUAAUUCUCGGUGCCUGUGUGUAGGAGUGUGUACGUGCUGGAUAUAAACUCCAGGGAAAUAUUUAUGGGAGGGAUUUUAAUUCUUCUUGGCUACAGGAUUUUGUUUGUUUCCUUGGGUGAUGUGUUGGCAAGGGUAAGAGAAGCCUCAUGAGAGAGUCUGUGGUUCUUCGGAAGGGAAAUGAGUCUCUGCUCAGGAUAACGGACAAGUUUUAACAAGCAGUGGCACCUCACACCUAAGGCCGAAACACUCAUGGCGUGAUGCUGGAAAUUUGUGAUCCGAUCUCCUGAUUUGUUUUUUUAAAAACUAAAGCAACCACAAGCAUCUCUGAUUCUUAUCAAAGCAGUAGCACUGGGAAAGUAGGUGUUUAACCCUUUCCUCUGUGCUAUUUGCCCAAAGCAGUCACAUUAGGUUGGAAAGGCAUGAUACAGGUAAAUAAAGAAACUAAUACCAGGAUUUUUUUACCUGUAGGAACCAGGAGAAAGAAUUUAUAUGGGAUACUACUGGAUCACCCCUUUCCACAUAUUUAUCAACCAUCUGAACAAAUUCAUCAGUGUUAGAGAGGACGUACCUUUGGAGAAGCCAUGCUUAUUCUUCUUCACAAGACUUGUUCUUCUAUAUCAGGAAUGGGGAACUUGUGACCUUCCUGAUAUUGCUGGGACUGCAACUCCCAUCAGCUCCAGCUACUGCUAAAAUGUUUACUAUUGAAAGGUGGUGGACUGUCCUCCAUUGGAGGUUUCAAGCAGAGUUUGGAUAGCCAUCUGCCAGGGAUAAUUUGGUGGAGAUUUCUGCAUUGCAGGGAGUUGGAUUAGAUAACGCUUGUGUGCUUUCCGACUCUACAAUUCUAAGAUUCUAUUAUCUCUGUCUUACAACUUGAAAGGAUUUAUAAUCAUAUAAGAUGGCUCCUGCUAGAUCAGACAAGGGAGCAUCUAAUCCAUUUUGUUCCCAUCCAUCUGUGGAGAGCUCAGAAGCAGGACAUGAGCACAGCAGCACUCUCUCCAACUGGAACCCAGAGAUGUACUACCUCUGAUCCUGGAGAAAAUAGUGCACAAUCAAAAUGGCUACCAGCCACUGACAAC